UUUCAUUCAUCUCUCUCGUUUUUUAAUUUUUUGCUUCAAACAAGGACAACCAUAGGCGAGAGAAAGCGAAAUGAUAGAUAUGAUGUGAGGAGUAGGGAUUUCUAUGCAACAGAUGCAUAUAUGAGCUAAAGUAAGCUCUCCAAUGGAACUAGUGGGGGUGCAUCCAACUUGCUUACUCAUGAAGACCUAGAGCUCAUUUGAGGAAGCUCAUCAUUGGAAUAUGCAAGCCAAGUUCUAUAGUGUAAGGGUCCCCACAUAGUUAUGCAUGAAUGAUAAUAUCUAUGUAGUACAAAUAUAGCAAUGGAGUACGAGUGUGGAUCUUUCAAAAGGAAUAGCAGUGUUGCCCCCUUCUCUCAUUUUUUUAUCUUUUUUUGUGGCCUCUUUGGCUCUUUCGUUUUAUCUCUCAUUUGUCCUCUUUGGGAUCUUUUAAUUUGUCCUCUUUGGGAUCUUUUCCUCACUUAAGGGCAACACUCUAUGUAUUACAAGAAUAAAAAGAAAAAUCAUCACACUUUAUAAGAAGUACUCAAUAUAAAGACAAGUGAAAACUAUCAUGAUGUAUG
rnacentral:lncRNA from 1 species